rnacentral:tRNA from 1 species
AAGAAGAAGAAAUAGGCUGCUAACCUAUAAUUUAGCUCAGGUUAUCUUCUUG